rnacentral:rRNA from 1 species
UACGUAGGGGGCGAGCGUUGUCCGGAUUUAUUGGGCGUAAAGAGCUCGUAGGCGGCUUGGCAAGUCGGGUGUGAAACCUCCAGGCUCAACCUGGAGCCGCCAUCCGAUACUGUCAUGGCUAGAGUCCGGUAGGGGACCAUGGAAUUUCUGGUGUAGCGGUGAAAUGCGCAGAUAUCAGAAGGAACACCAGUGGCGAAGGCGGUGGUCUGGGCCGGUACUGACGCUGAGGAGCGAAAGCGUGGGGAGCGAACAGG